rnacentral:lncRNA from 1 species
CCAUUGCAGCCAUCCAGGUCCCAUUGCCUUUUCUUGCUCAUGAAUAACUCACAGUGUGGAAAUGCUUCCAUAUGCUACAAGUUGUUCUCAUCAUUUGCUGAAGGGAAAACAAAAAGAAGAGAACUGUAGUCAAGUUUGUGACUUGCAGAAAGCACGAAGCUACAGCAAGUGCACACUUAGUGGCAGCCUUCGGUGGGUCCAACACCAGCCACUUGGAGCCUCACUCCCUGCCAAAGUCUGUGACCCAGUACAGGCACUGGACUCUUCCUGCCUUUGGACAUUGUCUGUGAGGACAUAGUUUUGAGACUUCUGUGGCCAACCAUGAGGGCAAGGACAAGAGAACUGAGGAGAAGCCCCCUUUGAAUCCUUAGCUUCUGAGCUCACCAACUCUGGAAACAACCCGCCUCCAGACAUCUUGCCAUGUGAGAUAAAUCCCAUUUCAUUUAAGUCAUAAGUAAUUGAAUAUUCUAUGACUGCCAAAUAUAUUCCAAUUAAAUAUGACAUCUAAACUAUGAUUUUAGAAUCUCUGGACUGGUAUAGAAAGUGGUAGGACCACUUGAUGUGAAAUUGUCCAUUCAGUGGCAAAACUUGAGUUUUCACCUUUUAUAGUUAAGAGCCUAGUGAGAUUUAUUGGGAAUUAAAAAUUAAUCUAAAUAAAUAUAAACAGUGGUAAAUUUUAUGUGUAUAUGUUAAUACUUCCUUCAUUUGCAUGUAUUCAAUUGCUAUUUUUAUUUUUUAAUAAAGAAAAACUGUGAAAUAGUUUAACAAAGAUGAUCAAAAUACUUGAUACUUCAUCCCUACUUUUUCUCGAACUUGAACCUGGCUACUAUAAUUCAUAAGCAAG